rnacentral:rRNA from 1 species
AUGCGUUUUGUGCGGCGCAUCCAGGAGUCUGAGGUGAAGGAGGCUUUAAAAAGGAUGAAAGGAGGCAAGGCGAUGGGCCCUGAUUGUAUCCCCAUUGAGGUGUGGAAAGGUCUCGGGGACAUAGCGAUAGUAUGGCUAACCAAGCUUUUCAACCUCAUUUUUCGGGCAAACAAGAUGCCAGAAGAAUGGAGACGGAGUAUAUUAGUACCAAUCUUCAAGAACAAGGGGGAUGUUCAGAGUUGUACUAAUUACCGUGGAAUUAAGCUGAUGAGCCAUACAAUGAAUCUAUGGGAGAGAGUCAUUGAGCACCGCUUAAGAAGAAUGACAAGCGUGACCAAAAAUCAGUUUGGUUUCAUGCCUGGGAGGUCGACCAUGGAAGCCAUUUUCUUGGUACGACAACUUAUGGAGAGAUAUAGGGAGCAUAAGAAGGACUUGCAUAUGGUGUUCAUUGACUUGGAGAAGGCCUAUGAUAAGAUACCGCGGAAUGUCAUGUGGUGGGCCUUGGAGAAACACAAAGUCCCAGCAAAGUACAUUACCCUCAUCAAGGACAUGUACAAUAAUGUUGUGACAAGUGUUCGAACAAGUGAUGUCGACACCGAUGACUUCCCGAUUAAGAUAGGACUGCAUCAGGGGUCAGCUUUGAGCCCUUAUCUUUUGCAUUGGUGA